rnacentral:lncRNA from 1 species
UGCAGAAUCGGCUCCCAUCGCGGCUCCAGCUCACGCUGUAGAUGAGGUCGGGGUGCAUCCCCUCCAGGCGGUACAGCUCCUCUCCCGUGCCCACGUUCCAGAUCAGCACCACGUUGUCACAGCCUGCGCUGAGCAGCACGUUGCGGGUGCUGGGGUGCCAGGCGAUGAUGCCCACGCGCUUCGAGUGCCCCUCCAGCACCACCACCGCUCCGUGAGCGGCUGCACGAGGCCCCC